GACAUAGGUGGCGAACGUUAUCCGGAUUUAUUGGGCGUAAAGAAUGUGUAGAUGGUGGAAUAAGUUAUUGGUCGAGGUCAAGCUCAACUUGGCGGAAGCUGGUAAUACUGUUCUACUUGAGGACAGGAGAGGUUGGCGGAAUUCUGUGUGGAGCGGUGAAAUGCGUUGAUCUACAGAGGAACACCAAAAAGGGCGAAGGCAGCCAACUAUUCUGAUCCUGACAUUGAGGCAUGGAAAGCGUGGGGAGCAAACCGG
rnacentral:rRNA from 1 species